AUAGACACUUAAUAGCGCGUUUUUAAGUUUCAAAAGAUUGCGACCCCCCCGCCCUUUGCCUCACAAUGGUUUGAUCCACUGCCAGUUCCUUAGCUUGCUACGUAACUGCCGUGAGGUUCAUCCAGUCAAUCGCGCGCACACACACUAGCUGUAUAAGCAGAGCUAUUAACUAUUAAGCUAGCUAGUACCUAUUCCAUUUAUGUGGCGUCGUCAAAGAUGGAAUCAGCAUGCAGAUGAAGCAGAGCAGGCAACAGAUGGCACAGACAGCAGAGUUGGGGACAGAUGCAGGGACAGACUGGCAGAGACAGGAAGUCUCAGCUCUGGGGAACAGGGGAAGGAGCCUCCAGGACCCAGGCCACUGCCACUGCUUGGUAACAUGCUCCAGCUGGACCUCAAGAAGCCCUACUGCACUCUCUGCGAGGAUACAAGACGGUCAAGCAGGCGCUGGUGAAUCAGGACUUUGGGGACCGGGACAUCACUCCUGUGCUCAGUGAACUAAACCAAGGACAUGGGAUUCUGUUUUCCAAUGGAGACUCAUGGAAAGAGAGGCUCUUUGCCCUGACAAACCUUAGACUUUGGGAUGGGCAAGAAACUGAGCAAGGAGAAAAUCUUAGAGGAAAUUCACUACCUGACUGAAGUGUAUGAAAAACCUGAGGGUAAGGCAUUUGACACCGCCCAGCCUAUGAUUUAUGCCGUCUUCAACAUAAUCUCGGCCAUUGUCUAUGGCAGAAGGUUUGAAUACACUUACCAGAAUUUGCAUCUCAUGCAUAUUUAAUAACGUGUUGAAUUAAUAUUGCUCAGUAUAACUAUAGAAUCGAAUUAAUCGAUAAGGUUCGAGGGGGUGUGGUAUAUGUCCAAUUUACCACAGCUAAGGGCUGUUCUUAGGCGCAGUGCCUGGAUACAGCCCUUAGCUGUGGUAUAUUGGCCAUAUACCACAAACCCAAAGGUGCCUUGUUGGUACUAUAAACUGUUAACCAACAUAAUUAGAACGGUAAACUAGUAAUUUUGCAUCAUACCGGCCAAUCAGCAUCCAGGAUCCAAAAAAGAAAAGAAAACCAGCCCUGUCGCAGACCACGAUGUCUUACUCCCAGACAAACGAAAUAACUUAUUUUCUCGCUUUGAGGACAAUACAGUGCCACCGACACGGCCCGCUACCAAAACCUGCGGGCUCUCCUUCACUGCAGCCAACGUGAGUAAAACAUUAAAACGUGUUAACCCUCACAAGGCUGCCGGCCCAGAUGGCAUCCCUAGCCGCGUCCUCAGAGCAUGCGCAGACCAGCUGGCUGGAGUGAGUACGGACAUAUUCAACCCUUAUCCCAGUCUACUGUUCCCACAUGCUUCAAGAGGGCGACCACUGUUCCUGUUCCCAAGAAAGCUAAGGUAAUUGAGCUAAAUGACUAUCACCCCGUAGCACUCAAUUCCGUCAUCACGAAGUGCUUUGAGAGGCUAGUCAAGGACCAUAUCACCUCCACCCUACCUGACGCCCUAGACCCACUCCAAUUUGCUUACCACACCAAUAGGUCCACAGACGAUGCAAUCGCAAUCACACUGCACACUGCCCUAACCCAUCUGGACAAGAGGAAUACCUAUGUAAGAAUGCUGUUCAUCGACUACAGCUCAGCAUUUAACACCAUAGUACCCUCCAAACUUGUCAAUAAGCUCGAGACCCUGGGUCUCGACCCCGCCCUGUGCAACUGGGUCCUGGACUUCCUGACGGGCCGCCCCCAGGUGGUGAGGGUAGGAAACAUCUCCACCCCGCUGAUCCUCAACACUGGGGCCCCACGAGGGUGUGUUCUCAGCCCUCUCCUGUACUCCCUGUUCACCCAUGACUGAGUGACCAUGCACGCCUCCAACUCAAUCAUCAAGUUUGCAGACAGUGGUAGGCUUGAUUACCAACAACGCCGAGACGGCCUACAGGGAGGAGGUGAGGGCCGGGGUCAGGAAAAUAACCUCAUACGCAAUGUCAACAAACUAAGGAGAAGAUCAUGGACUUCAGGAAACAGCAGAGGGAGCAGCCCCCUAUCUACAUUGACAGGACAGUAGUGGAGAAGGUGGAAAGUUCCUCGGCGUACACAUCAUGGACAAACUGAAAUGGUCCACCCACACAGACAGCGUGGUGAAGAAGGCGCAGUAGCGCCUCUUCAACCUCAGGAGCCUGAAGAAAUUCGGCUUGUCACCAAAAACACUCAAACUUUUACAGAUGCACAAUCGAGAUGCACAUUGAGGUCUGCACAACGCAUCACUGGGGGCAAACUAAUUGCCCUCCAGGACACCUACACCACCCGAUGUCACAGGAAGGCCAUAAAGAUCAUCAAGGACAACAACCACCCGAGCCACUGCCUGUUCACCCCGCUAUCAUCCAGAAGGCGAGGUCAGUACAGGUGCAUCAAAGCUGGGACCGAGAGACUGAAAAACAGCUUCUAUCUCAAGGCCAUCAGACUGUUAAACAGCCAUCACUAACACUGAGUGGCUGCUGCCAACAUUCUGACUCAUCUCUAGCCACUUUAAUAAUGUAAAAAUUGGAUGUAAUACAUGUAUCACUAGCGUUAAACAAUGGCACUUUAUAUAAUGCUUACAUACUCUAUACAAUCUACUGCAUCUUGCCUAUGCCGUUCAGCCAUUGCUCAUCCAUAUAUUUUUAUGUACAUAUUCUUAUUCAUUCCUUUACACAUGUGUGUGUAUAAGGUAGUUGUUGUUGAAUUGUUAGAUUACUUGUUAGCUAUUACUGCAUGGUCGGAACUAGAAGCACAAGCAUUUUGCUACACUCGCAUUAACAUCUGCUAACCAUGUGUAUGUGACAAAUAAAAUUCGAUUUGAUUUGAACUCAGUUUAUAAUUCUAAUUAUACCACCAUGUGGUGCACUUGGAUCCUGCAGCAGAACACAAUUCAUUUGACUUGUCCAACACUACCAUACCAAUGUGCACAGAUGUCAAUUCAACGUGUAUUCAACAUUGGUUCAACGUAAUUUCAUUGAAGUUAAGUAGAAACAACGUAGAUUCAUCCAGUGUGUGCCCAGUAUACAUAUGACUGAAUGCCAGAUGAGGGAGGAUAGAAUUACAGUUCUUAUCAGCAGAAUUUCAUGUAAACUCACAGACUCAAACACUAAAACACUUCCUCUAGCUGCUUUAAUAGAAUAUGUUGAUUAUCUGUGAAUAACUUAUAACAGAUCCUUAAGUAACUGUAGUACAUAAUUCAUGUGUCAUCUGAGGGUCUGUUUCUUUUAGGAAUCUGGCAAUAUGGCAAUAUAGAUUCUUUGUACCAUGAUAACAACCUGGUAUUUAGUGUUACUGUCAGUGGAAUUUUCUAUCCCAAUGAUAGUAAUUAACAAUCAAUAAGCUUUGACUAUUCCCCAAGGUUUGUAAGACACUGGGUUAAGAAUAAUUAGGCAAGGACUCAGCUGUCUGCAAAAGGUCUGUACAGUUUAUUCAGAGAACGUUCUGAAGUACAUUACACAAAGAUGUUCAUUUUAUGCUCACUCCCCGCUUACGCACAUACCUACACACAAACAAUAGAUAUCCUACGCACAUACAUACAAUUCACCUACUGUUCGUAUGUAUCCCUCCCCGGACUUCUCACCACUGUUAAUCACUAUCCAGUGCUGUCUGUUCCUUUCCCCCGAGAUUCGAGAAACCUUGAGGGUCACUCCCUUUCUUCUCUAAGUUACUCAAAGUUCCUCAGCUGCCGGGUCAAUCGCAGUCUACUUGUUGUUAUCUUAGGCCCACUAAAACACACACACACACACACACACAUUUUGUCCCAGGCCUCUAAUAGAUAUGGGCCUGUUAUGGGCCUGUCGAUUAGUACUUUAAUUAUUCAUUAUACAUGCUACAUAACUACUAAUUACUAAUUGGUUACGUGAUUCUUUAUUUUAUUCAUUUACCUUUAUUAUAUAAUUCCCUUAUCAGUUACUACCCUGUUUGGUGCUGGUACCGACACCACCGGGACAACCCUGCGCUGGGGUCUGCUGCUGAUGGCCAGGUACCCCCAUAUACAGGGUAAGGAUUGAUGUAAACACAAACGCAUGCACGCACACUCACCACAGGCUGCUGAGGGGAGGACGGCUCAUAAUAAUGGCUGGAAUGGAGUGGUACCGACACCACCGGGACAACCCUGCGCUGGGGUCUGCUGCUGAUGGCCAAGUACCCCCAUAUACAGGGUAUUCUGUUUGCCAAUGGAGACUCAUGGAAAGAGAUGAGAUGCUUUGCCGUGGCGAACCUUAGACUUUGGCAUGGGAAAGACAGGAAGUGAAGAGGAAAUUCGCUACCUUAUUCAAUUGUUUGAAAAAACAAGAGGGUACGCCGACAGCGGUGGACGAACAUCUGGGCUGAAGGUAUGUUGACCUCAACUUCUUGCUCUGGGAAGAGCGGGGCUGAUACCCCAUGGAGCAUUCGAAGAGGGAUAGUCCAGUAGCCGAGCAGGGGAGAGUGUUCCUGGCAUAUUCCACCCAGACCAGUUGCUGACUCGAGGUGGUGGGGUUACUGGCAACAAGACACUGGAGUGCCGUCUCCAUUGGCUCUCUCCGACUGGCCGUUGGAUUGGGGAUGAAACCCAGAGGACAGGCUGGCUGACGACCCGAUAAGGGUGCAGAACUCCUUCCAAAAUCAUGAUGAAAACUGAGGACCCCGGUGUGAGACAAUGUCAACCAGGAGUCCAUGGAUUCGGAAGACACGCUGCACCAUAAGCUGGCCAUCUCCUUGGCUGAAGGUAACUUAGGAAGAGGGAUGAAAUGGGAGGCCUCUGAGAAUCUGUAAACCACGUCAGGAUGGUGGUGUUGCCAUCUGACGGAGGAAGCCCAGUGACAAAAUCCAGGGAAAUACGGGACCAGGGGAAAUGAGGGACAGGGAGUGGCUGUAGGAGGCCAGACGGAGCUUGACGCAGAGUCUUGCUUUGAGCGCACACCAUGCAUGCGGCGACGAAGGCCGAGACAUCAGGAACCAUGGUGGGCCACCAGAAGCGUUGACGGAGGAAAGCCAGGGUAGGACGAGUACCCUGGCUUAGUUUUACACGUAUUCAAUAAUCAUUUAAGGGCAAUAAAGGUUUUCUGCAAAAUAAUGAAAAUAUACUGUAGUUCAGAUAGAGCAUGAUCAGCAGGGCGGGCAAUAGAGUACACGACUGUAUCGUUUGAAUUCAGGUGCAGGUAAAACUUUAUAUUUAUACUGUUCUGACAAAACAAUACUGUCAAUGUAUACAAUAUAAUUGUUUAUUAGACAUUCUGACAUAUAACACAAUAUCUAGGUACAAAAAAAUGUAUUUGCAACAUUUGAACAACAAUUUCGACCCCCAUCGGGUUAUGAUGUAUAUGACAUGACAAUACAUUGGCUGUUUUAGUAUUCCUUUUUUAUUUACAUGUUUAUAAUCGAAAAUUAUAUUUUUAGAGGGGAGGGAAAUAUUCUUUAUGUUAAACUGUAGAGAACAAGAACCUUUGGUGACUCAGAGUCACUGAUGUUUUAUAUACAGUACAACACAUAUCCAGAAGGCUCGUUCUGACAAUAAACAAGAAGCUUUAAAGUUUCAAACGAGGAUGUCAAGACAGGUACGUACUAUAGUAUUACACUGUUAUGUACUACUAAUGUACUAGUAUAUAAGAUGUUAAGGAAUAUCUAUAGGGGGAACAUAUACACGAUAUAACACAUUCCCCACAGCAUCUAAGGAUGCAUACACUUACACUGACAUUUGUAUUUUGUUAUGUGAAAGUAGCAUAAGUAUGUGUAAAGAGUUUCCAAUUUUGUUUAAAAGUUUAGAAUAUGUCUCUUGUGAAUAUUGAGAUGUGUUACAUAUAUUAUGUAUUUCAAUUUCUUACACAUUUUUAAUAAUACUUCUGAGUUGUAGAGAUGUUCUUCAGAGGUUAUAAUACAAAUAGAUAUUUUGAUUUAGUUCAGAAUUUAGUUUUUUUUUUUUUACAUGUAAUCUAGGAUCUUAACAACCUAAUACAUAUACAACUUUUUUCAUUCACCCCAUUGCUAUAUAAACUGAACUUUAGAUUUUAUUUGUUAUAAUAAUGAUUUACAAAUGAAAAAAAAAAUAGUCAAUAGUUAAUUGCAUAUUAUGUAAUUGUUGAUUCGAUUCUUUUUCAUUAUUCAGCCUAUUUUCUCUUGAGACAUAUGGUCUAUCCACUAGAAACUCAUAGACAAUAUGGAUACAUACAGUAUAUAAAGAUUAACAAAUAAAUAUAUAUACAUAUACAAAAAAAAAUGUUACGCUAUUUUUUGUUGUUGCAACUGUCCCAUAUACCGUUACAACUAACCCUGCUUUUGGGGUUAAUUGUAACAUCAGGACUUUUUGGGACUUAGGGUCAUUAAGCCUGAAUUGUCUAAAGUCAACAUGUAACUCUAGUCUACUUUUAGUUAGCAGAAAAAUGUAAGUUUUUUUAUGUGAAGUUCUGAAAUCUCUACAUCAGUGUUAAAUAACUCAAAUGUGUUACUGUUUAACUGUGGUACCUUUUCCAAGAAAUGAACAGAAAUCAAACUCAAAUGUUGAACAGAACACUAUUCAAGUCUGUGGUAAGGUCUCCAAGGAUCUUAUUUCUACUACGAGGGUUUAUCAGUACCCUGCUUCACCUGUUCCUUCUCCCCAUGACUAUACUUUUUCAUGAUGUUGGUUUAGUUUCAUGUUGUUUGUUGAUAACCAAAAA
rnacentral:lncRNA from 1 species